UACGUAGGGUGCGAGCGUUGUCCGGAAUUAUUGGGCGUAAAGAGCUUGUAGGCGGUUUGUCGCGUCUGCUGUGAAAAUCCGGGGCUCAACCCCGGACUUGCAGUGGGUACGGGCAGACUAGAGUGUGGUAGGGGAGACUGGAAUUCCUGGUGUAGCGGUGAAAUGCGCAGAUAUCAGGAGGAACACCGAUGGCGAAGGCAGGUCUCUGGGCAACUACUGACGCUGAGAAGCGAAAGCGUGGGGAGCGAACAGG
rnacentral:rRNA from 1 species